GCUGGGUGUGGUGGCUCACACCUGUAAUCUCAGCAUUUCGAGAGGCUGAGGCAGGAGGAUUGCCUGAGCUCAGGAGUUCGAGACCAGCCUGAGCAAUAUGGUGAAAUUCUGUCUCUA
ensembl:misc_RNA Metazoa_SRP Metazoan signal recognition particle RNA